GAGCAGCCUUUGAGUUUGAUUUAUAUUCAGUGUGGAGCUUUGGUAAAGAAUUUUCAUUGCUUUUACAGAGGCAAGGAAAUAUAACUCUGCAGGAAUACCGAGUGGGAUAGAGAACAUUUACAAAGUGACCACCCUGAUUUGAGACCUGGAAUCUUCUGCAUGUUAAACCAGAGUUGGAAUGACACACCACCACAGGGAGCAGGCUAUUUUUGCUGCAAUCUUCAUGAAACUCAGCUCCAGCUCUCAACAUUGCAAAAGGAAGGACAAAUAAAGGAUUAGUAAGCAUAACAGUGUUGGAAAAUGCAACCAGCUUACUGUCUGCAUCUGUGUGAAUGGCUUCCACAAAGAGAGCAUCCCCAGGAUCCAGGCGCUCCUCACGGCUGGCUCUGGUGUACUUGGGCCCUGCGGGAUCCAAACCUGGAACACAGUGAAAACAGUGUGGAUGUACUACAUUACCCACCCUGUCUAGAGGACCCCAAGUGAACCUAAAGAGGUUGGGCCUGGGCUAGGAGUAUAAGGUGGUGGCUGUUGGACAAGGGGGUGGAAUCUUGUAGCACUUUGCAGAUUAGAAAUAAAAACGGGACAAACUACAUAUGAUGCAGGAGAUCUGUUGAUUGAUCUCUCAAUUCUUUUCCUUUUGCUUGAAUUACAACCCUGGUAGAUGAGACAAUCUGAGGCUCAAAAAACAGCUUAGCCUCCAAGAAAUUACAGUCAAAGCAUUUCUUACACCAAAAUGCUCAGAAAUGUCAAGGGACUCUUUAAAUACAAAUCAUAGUCCUAAUAUCAUAAAGACAAAUGAGAGAUAGCAAUAAUGAUAACAAUGGUGACAAUAGAGCAAGGGUGGGGAACUCCCAGCCCUAGGGUCAAAUAUGCCCACAGCCAGAUUCCAUAUCCUCUGGGUUCCCUCCUGCCCAUCAGCUGCUCAGCAGGGAGCAGUCAAAAGGUGAAAAAGUUCAGAUGUGCAAAGUGUGCAAUUGCAGCUCCUUCUUCUGCAACAAGAUCUGCUACAAGAAGAUCAAAGCAGAGGAUAAAAUAUCUCAGGAGAGGUAGACUCAUGUUCCUUGCAAAUAUGCAAAAAGUACAUAUCCAUGUAUUUUGCAAUUGCAUACAUACAAUUUUUGGGAUGCAAUAACAUUUUUAAGUUUUAAGGCUUUGAAUAGCUGAAAGGCAGGGCUUGCAGUUCAGCUGCACAUUAUUAUUUUCAUUCAAAUAAAUAAACCACUGCUGGGAUUAUGUGCCUUUUGCACAAUCAAAACAAAUAAA